rnacentral:rRNA from 1 species
AUUUGUUUAACUAUGGCAAUAGAAAGUUAUUUGGCUUAGUUGCAUAAAAUAAUUUUAUAAUUUUGUAGUUUUGUUUAGGCUAUGAGUUAUUAGCAAUUAGUUUUUUAUUAGAAUUUGUGUUUUUUAAGAAUGCUUAUAUAAAGGGGAUAGGACACAGUGCCAGCAUCCGCGGUUAGACUGUUUUCUUUGCUUUCUUAUAGAUUUUGUUUGUGUAUUUAUAAUUUAAGUUAGGUGAAAUUUUUUUAAUUUUAUAUUUUAUACACAUUUAUUUUUAAAUAUUAUAUGUGACAGGGAUUAGAUACCCCCUUAAUAUUAUAUUAUAUUUUAUCUUAGUUUUAUAACUAAAAUAGUUUGGCAGCGAGCGAAUCCGUUCAGGGGAAGGUGUGUUAUAAAGGACGAUCCGCCUAUUAAUUUACUUAUUUUAUGUUGGUGUAUAUCUGGUUUGAUAUUAUUGCUUUAAUAGCCUAAUUUGUGUAUAUUGAUUAUUUAAGCCAAGUCUAUGUGCUGCUUAUUUAAGUUUUCAUGCGUUACAUUUAUAAAUUUAAAUUUGUUAUAGUUUAAUAUUUAGGACUUGAUAGUAGUGUAGAUUUAUUGUGUCUAUGCGAAGCAGGUUUAGCUCGGGUACACACCGCCCGUCACCCUCGAUAAUCAUUGAGGUAAGUCGUAACAAGGUAACUUUAAAUGAAUUUGAAGUUAAUUACUAAGUUUA